GCCGUGUGGCGUGGCAGCAGUGUGCUUCCCUGUCGACUGUUCGCUGCAAGUGCUGAGGCCCACUUGAGCAGCAGAAAAACACAAUGGGACCCGGGGAGAAGGUGGCUGCCGCUCCAAUAUUUUUCGUGGGGAAUUGGCUCUUGCUCUGGGAAAGGAUGGGGUGGGAGCUUUUGCAAGACUCCUCUGGCAGGCUUUACAGAUGUCUCAUUGUUGUAUUCUGGGCAGCUCUGAUCUGAGUGGAGAUCCUUUUGUGUGCUGUACUCACUGAGGCAGGCAAUUCUACACCUGGACGGGGUCCUCUGAGACCACGCAGCCCAGCCUUGGUUCCCAGAUUAAAGUGGAUAAAAUAUCAAUCCAGAAUCAUUUUGUUCAGUGGAUAGAAGAAACAGCAGUAACAACCUCUCCGAUUAUAGUGAGUGGCUGGCUCCAUGAACCACUGUUUGUGCAUUUAAAUCACAAAAAUCUCAAUUUAGCUCUAUUUGGACUGGUUCUCCAUUGGGAGGGAUAGAACUCUGUUAGGCCAAUGGAGUGGUGACUUUCCCACCACCCCAUCAAUCAUCAAGGUGGAACUGACAAAGGACAGCGACUCAGCUUCCAUCGCAGCAGGAACUAGAGAUUCUUGGCUUAGGGGAGCCAGGUGCCUCACUUUUCUGGGCUUGUUGCCACCAACUGAGUGGAUUUCAAAUCUUGAGCUGCCUUUCAGGAUAUCCAUAUAGCAUCUCAGGAUGCCUGAGAGACCCACGCUGUUAUACAUCAGAAGGCGGACGGACUUCUCUCUGGGAGGAGGUGGAGAUAGGUGAAAACUCUCUGACCUCGACACCCGAACAGCCUAGUACCUGCAAGCAGCUUUCUUCCAGCGGACGCCUCCCAGAACAUCACCACACACCAAGGGCAGGAGGGAGCAUGCACCAGAGGAGCGACAAUGGAAACAGGCACAGUUACUCAAGCCAAUGGCUCCAGAGGAAGGAAUGGAAGAUUGGGAGUAGACACUUGCGGCAGCAUAGUAGGGUGCUUCCUCAAGAGGAUCUGCCAUCAUCCCAACCUACAGAGGAUGUCUACAGAGCUCUCCAAGGAUGGUGAUGCUCUCAUCGCCAAAUAUUGCUCCAUGCUUCUGUGAAAGAGUGUCCUCUGAGCCCUCCCAGGAGAUGGGGGCGUCAGUCACACAUUAGAAAUCCACUCCAACUUUCCUGUUUCCCUAAGCCUUUAGAUUUACUCCUCUAUUAUAGCAAGGAAAUUGCACAUUUCAACUUCAUUUAAUGUAGACCAAUGUGACAUCCAGGUUUUAGGCAGUUAUGUGAGCAAAUUGUGGGGGCCUUUCCCGGUUGCUCAGGCUAAUAUACGGAAUUGAGAAUCCCUCGUUAGUGCACCCAUAUUGAUACAUUUGUCCAUUCCAAUCUUUUUUUCCUUCCAUCCUGGACAAAUAUACUUAUAUUCCUUUUCUGCAU
rnacentral:lncRNA from 1 species